rnacentral:rRNA from 1 species
GAUGAACGCUGGCGGCGUGCCUAAUACAUGCAAGUCGAGCGAACAGAUGAGAAGCUUGCUCCUCUGACGUUAGCGGCGGACGGGUGAGUAACACGUGGAUAACCUACCUAUAAGACUGGGAUAACUUCGGGAAACCGGAGCUAAUACCGGAUAAUAUAUUGAACCGCAUGGUUCAAUAGUGAAAGACGGUUUUGCUGUCACUUAUAGAUGGAUCCGCGCCGCAUUAGCUAGUUGGUAAGGUAACGGCUUACCAAGGCAACGAUGCGUAGCCGACCUGAGAGGGUGAUCGGCCACACUGGAACUGAGACACGGUCCAGACUCCUACGGGAGGCAGCAGUAGGGAAUCUUCCGCAAUGGGCGAAAGCCUGACGGAGCAACGCCGCGUGAGUGAUGAAGGUCUUCGGAUCGUAAAACUCUGUUAUUAGGGAAGAACAAAUGUGUAAGUAACUAUGCACAUCUUGACGGUACCUAAUCAGAAAGCCACGGCUAACUACGUG